rnacentral:antisense_RNA from 2 species
AAGAGCACGACAUUGCUCACAUUGCUUCCAGUAUUAGUUGCCCGCGUCUCGCGGGCUUUUUUU